UACGUAGGUGGCAAGCGUUAUCCGGAAUUACUGGGCGUAAAGCGCACGCAGGCGGUCUUUUAAGUUUGACGUGAAAGCUCCCGGCUUAACUGGGAGAGGUCGUUGAAGACUGGAAGACUUGAGGCAAUGAGAGGGGUGUAGAAUUCCCGGUGUAGUGGUGGAAUGCGUAGAUAUCGGGGGGAAUACCAGUGGCGAAAGCGGCACCCUAGCGUUGGCCUGACGCUCAUGUGCGAAAGCGUGGGGAGCGAACGGG
rnacentral:rRNA from 1 species